rnacentral:rRNA from 1 species
AUGUGCCUACGGGACGCAGCAGUGGGGAAUAUUGCGCAAUGGGCGAAAGCCUGACGCAGCGACGCCGCGUGAGGGAUGAAGGUCUUCGGAUCGUAAACCUCUGUCAGCAGGGAAGAACGGCCACUGUGCUAAUCAGCAGUGAAUUGACGGUACCUGCAAAGGAAGCACCGGCUAACUCCGUGCCAGCAGCCGCGGUAAUACGGAGGGUGCGAGCGUUAAUCGGAAUUACUGGGCGUAAAGCGCUCGUAGGCGGUAUGUCAAGUCAAGGGGGAAAUCCCCGCGCUCAACGUGG